GCAGCAUUUCCCCAGUGUGUUCUGACAAGAAGCAAAGCCUUCAUGAAAACACCGCUCAGACUCCAGAGCCCGCCCGGUCUCUGCAGCGAGCAGAGCUUGUCAAUUAACGUGAACUGUGGAGAUGAUCCGAGAGACGGGGAUCCGCCUGCCGCAGCUCCCCGGAGCCCGUCAGGCUCGUUUUACACAGCCUAUUAGAACAGCUAUUAGACGGUGUCGAUUUUCCCUCACUCUUACAGCUGAACAAAUAAUGAGAAAAAUUAUAUGCAAACAUCCCCAUGACUCCUGUAUGAUUCUGCUUGAACUGCGUCUCCACAUUCGCAGUUUGAUUCUCGUGGAUUCCUGACAUUUUAAGGGAGGAGUCUGCUCUCAGCAUCCUCUCAGGACCACAAAACAAUCUGCAAUCAAGAAAGGAGGCUCAUUCAUCAAGCAAAUUGUUACUGGAAAUUGUCUUCCUCAGCUAUAAUCACACACCCAGGGCACUUGCAAACAGAGGAUGACCGAAAGGAGCCUGUUCCUUCCAGCACUUGCAAAUAGCUCCAGAAGAGUCAAGCACAGGAGGAGAUUUAAGGAUACAGCCUCAGCAGUAAUGGCCAUUUACCUCCUGACACAGCCAUGACCUGAUGGGGAACCCAGUGCACACAUGAGAGGACUCGAGCUGUAGCUCAAACCCAUCCGCUGCCAGAGCUUCCUACAUCAGACACGUGCAGUCCUUGAAAGAUGUCUUAUAUUUCAAUAUAAUAUAUUUCAAUAUUUCUUAUCGGCAGCAAGAGACAUUCCACUAUUGCCACCGAAGGGAAAUGUUACCUCCACGCUCACUGAAAUAAA